GUUUGGUACAAUCUGGUUCACAUCAUAAUGGUUCUUUUGCCAACAGGAGCUGGUAAUCAGGAUGGCAGUGAGGCAGGCACUUGCUUGCAGAAGAACAGGCCUAGUUUUUUAAGAAGCCACAAAAGUGUCUUUGGAUGAUUAGGAUCUAAGGGGCCAACAGCUUUGCAAUAACAGCAUAAAUAUUGUGGGCUGGAUGGACAGGCACCAAAUGGGGACAUUCCAUCCUGCUGUGUGAUGAGAAAGCUGCCACUUUUGAGGCCUUCCAAAACAAAUCAACACUCCAUAUGCCAGAAGGAAAAGCCCAGGAAAGACCUAUUCCAACUGGAGAUGGUGAAUGUCAUUUCUUCAAGAAGCUGAGAUCCAGCUGGUACUGCCAGGAAUACGAAGGGAGAAUGAAACAAAACUGCUCCGCUUAGGGAACUUGGAAAGGAAAUUGAAAAGGCAAGGCACAGGCUGGAAGAAAAUAUUUGAAAAAGAUUUAUGUGAACUUCUUUCUGGAUUAUACAAAAUAUUUUUAGAUAUUCUUACAACUCUAAAAUAAGAUAACUCCUUAAAAAUCUAAAUUCUACCAAAGGAGAGAUAAAGAUGACGAAUACAUUCAAAGAUGCUGAAAAUCACUUAUUUAUUAUUAGGAAGUUACAAGCUAAAGCAUAAUGAGAUACCACUACAACCUACUAAACUGACUAAAAUUAAUCAGACUAACCAGGUGUUGGCAAGAAACAGGGACACUGAGACUCUCACACUGCUGGAAGGAAUGUAAAAUGCUAAAACUUCUUUGGAAAUGAGUUCAGUAACUUUUUAAACAGUUGAAAAUAGACCUAUCAUGCAAACCAGCAAUCCCACUUCCAGGUAUUUAUACAAGGAAAAUGACAACAUAUGCCCACAUAAAGACUUGUGCACAAAUGACCGUAGCAGCUUUGUGAUAAUUGCUAAAAACUAGAAACUUGUCAAGUGUCCAACAGGUGAGUGGACAAACUCACUAUAGUAUAUCCAUACAAUUAAGUACUAAAUAGCAAUAAAAAGGAACUAUUAAUAC
rnacentral:lncRNA from 1 species